rnacentral:rRNA from 1 species
CGGGUGAGUAAUGUAUGGGGAUCUGCCUGAUGGCGGGGAUAACUACUGGAAACGGUAGCUAAUACCGCAUAAUGUCUGCGGACCAAAGCGGGGGACCUCCGGGCCUCGCGCCAUCAGAUGAACCCAUAUGGGAUUAGCUUGUAGGUAAGGUAACGGCUUACCUAGGCGACGAUCCCUAGCUGGUCUGAGAGGAUGAUCAGCCACACUGGGACUGAGACACGGCCCAG